GACGAACGCUGGCGGCGUGCUUAACACAUGCAAGUCGAACGGAAAGGCCCUGCUUUUGUGGGGUUCUCGAGUGGCGAACGGGUGAGUAACACGUGAGUAACCUCCCCUUGACUUUGGGAUAACUUCAGGAAACUGGGGCUAAUACCGGAUAUGAGCUCCUGCUGCAUGUUGUUGGUUGGAAAUUUUCGGCGGUUGGGGAUGGACUCGCGGCUUAUCAGCUUGUUGGGGGGGUAGUGGCUUACCAAGGCUUUGACGGGUAGCCGGCCUGAGAGGGUGACCGGCCACAUUGGGACUGAGAUACGGCCCAGACUCCUACGGGAGGAAGCAGUGGGGAAUAUUGCACAAUGGGGGGAAGCCUGAUGCAGCAACGCCGCGUGCGGGAUGACGGCCUUCGGGUUGUAAACCGCUUUGGCAUGUGACGAAGCGUGAGUGACGGUAAUGAGUAAAGAAGCACCGGCUAACUACGUG
rnacentral:rRNA from 1 species